rnacentral:tRNA from 1 species
CCAGCGCCUCGCCGAGCACGGCCGCGAUCCUGUCGCGGUCGGCGUCGGAGGCGCGCUGCGCGGGAUCGUCGCCCGCGUACGGGG